UAUACUUAUGAUGCAUUUUUGGCCAUUCCCAACACCACUGGUCUCAAGGUGUAUUUAUGAUCAACAGAGAUAACACAGUGUCUCAAAGGUGA